UGCUUUCCUCUGCUCAGCAGAUGACUA
rnacentral:piRNA from 1 species